AGCGAAAUGAAUGCGAUCGGCGAUCCCGACCGGAAGAAGGGUCUCGCCGAUUUCGACGCGUCGUUCUGGAAGCAUGUCGGCCACGCCAUCACCAAUACAUUCCGCGCCUGGGGCCGGAGCUGGACCGGCGGCGCGUUUGCCCCGGCGCCCGAGGCUGGCGCCGCGACCGGUUACUACCGCCAGCUCUCGCGUUAUUCGGCAGCGUUUGCGCUGUGCUCUGACAUGGCGCNNNNNNNNNNNCGCUCAAGCGCAAGGAAAUGCUGUCGGCAAGGCUCGGCGACAUUCUCUCCGAACUGUAUCG
rnacentral:misc_RNA from 1 species